AGAGUUUGAUCAUGGCUCAGAUUGAACGCUGGCGGCACGCCUAACACAUGCAAGUCGAGCGGUAACAUGAUGAGUAGCAAUACUUGUUGAUGACGAGCGGCGGACGGGUGAGGAACACGUAGGAACCUGCCUCAAGCGGGGGACAACCAAGGGAAACUUUGGCUAAUACCGCAUAAACUCGAGAGAGUAAAGCUGCCCUU
rnacentral:rRNA from 1 species